rfam:Desulfotomaculum sp. 46_296 MPI_scaffold_372, whole genome shotgun sequence.
UUUAUGGAGAGUUUGAUCCUGGCUCAGGACUAACGCUGGCGGCGUGCUUAACACAUGCAAGUCGAACGGUCUGGCAACUAACUUCGGUUGGAUGUCAGAUAGUGGCGGACGGGUGAGUAACGCGUGGAUAACCUGCCCAUCAGACAGGGAUAACACCGGGAAACUGGUGCUAAUACCGGAUACGUACGUAA